rnacentral:lncRNA from 1 species
UGGCGUUGUUCUGUUUUCUCAAUGAAUAGCAGUCGCUUGUUGGAUGGGAAUUGCUACUGUAAGUCAUCUCAGCGAGCAGUAUUGACCCCCUAAAGAAAGGAGUAUCGACACAAUACACAAAAUUAUUAGGCUGCAGAUAGUAUGGGGUACAUUAGUACAUGGACAUAAAAAAGUAAAGGAUAUUCAUGAUAGUGUUUGCUUGUCUUUGUCAGGUUUUUUAAUUUUCUUUUUGAGUGGCUUCACACACAUGUGCAUUUCCGCCGUAUUGUAUCGCCACAGAGACAAUACUUGCAGGGGUUGUGAAAAAUAACUUGAAGCAUGCCCAUUAGUUAGUAGAGCAUAUAUUUGCGUUGCAGCGAUGACUUUAUUAGUGUGUGUGUGUUCACUUCUAGGUCACUGCAUCAUGUCAAAAAAACUGGCAGUGCUACAAUUUCUCAAAAGAAAAGGAAGUUCAUGUGAAGAACCAUGGCGACACAUGUGAGAAAAAUAUAUUUGAGUCAAUAUAUAUACACAUAUAAAUGGAUUGAACUAUUUGUUCUUUUCUGUGAGGGAAAGACAGUUAAUUAGUUGUUAGUUUGAAAAACUGUAAAAAAGAUAGUCUGCAGUAAAUGUGUAUAAAAAAUAUAGGUCAGUGAUAUACUGUGAUAAUUCCUCCUUGUUUUUUGUCUGCAACAGUUGAUUAAAUUUUUUGAGGGGGGUUCAAAAAAACACUUCAUGAGCUUCUUUUUGAAUGGCUGAAUAGAUUAGUUAUGUUUUAAUCCGAAGUCCGGCAAGUGUGCUUCACGUGUUAGAUUUUCCUGCGAUUCAAAAUCCUGCCCACCUAUUCUGAACCCAAAUCUUUAUUAUCACUCGUCAAGCCUAUGAAGGCCCAGUGGCUUUGAUGCACGCCCAUUACUCAAUAAGUAAUAGUUCCAGUAAGCUCACAGUACUACUUCCACAACCGCGAAUGGUAAAUUUUAAAAGUGCAAAUGAAAGCAUAGAAAUUAACACAGAUUGCUAUUUUAGGUCUUCAAUGAUUUCCGAAUAGAUUGAAAGUCCAAGCCUUGAUGAAUUGACAGACCACACAUGUUUUGUGAAGUAUUUUAAACGAAAUUGCAAUUGAAAUCUAGAUGCAGCUACUGUAGAUAUAUUUGUUGCUAUUAGUACACAUUUUUCCCCUAUCCAAGGUCUUCUACUAUUUCAAUACCCAUCAUAUGUGAAAAUCUGUGGCGAUAAAAGAAACACAUCUACAGUCUGUAAUUUGUUCCUGAAAGUGAAACUUAACAAUGUCAGUGAGUGGUGAAAUGUACACUCUUGUUUGAUCUAAUUUCUGGAUUCCCUUUCCUUGUACUUCUAAGAAAAUAAUUAAGUCUUGCAUUAGGUAUAGAACACAAAGACAACAUUAGUUGCAUCUUUUAUUGAGGAAGAAACUCAUUCGAUCUAUCUAGGUUGAACAAGUUUAUGUCUAAACUGUCAUAUUUAUUCACAGAUUUUGUCUACUUGCUUCAAAACAGAAAUGUGGCUUUUGCUUGCUGGUAAUUUGGGUUAUGGUGUGGCUGCCUAUUACUCAAGAUGAACUCAUAUCAUAUCAUCAAUUUCAGGAACAUUAUCUCAGCUGUUGUUGAUUUCAGAACAGAUCAUUGGCAUUGUACCUUCAAGGGACUAUCCUUUUGCCUACUGAGCACACAAAACAAAUGUGUCUAUAUAUUUAUUUAAGUGAAACAACAUGCUUCCAUUUUUGGUCAAUCGGUGGAUCUGACUAAUACAUAACUACAUAUAUAUGUGUGAGGUAUUAUUCAUGUGUCAUUUUUCGUAAUUCAAGUAAGCUGAAACUGAUGGUCUCAGAUGGUUUGUGUAUUAACUUUGAUCAGAACCUGCAUCUACAAAUACUGAGUAGAGGGUUGCCUUUUGUGCAGGAAUUUGCAGCAGGAUCCCUUGCCUGUGCUCUCCGCUUGUCCUCACUCCUUAGACCUUCCCUUUGCUUAUCACCAUACAUUUUAUUCAGAGUGGUGUCAAGAUGCAUCUCCUCUGCCAAGAUGAUGGGCAGAGGGCCUAAGCUCUAGGUGAGCUCCACCAAACAUGUGUUAUAUAUUGUACGAUGUUUUCAUUGUUAAUGUCUGCAAUCUAAUGCUUUGCUCUGCUAUUUUAAUUUUGUGUAACAUGCAUACUCUCAUGGAUCUGUACGCAUGUGUUUGCAAGAACUUGUACGCAUGAGUUUGUAAGAAGUUGAAUGCUGGUAUGAUGCUUUAUUUUCUACAAAGUUGGGCUAUAUGCUCACGGCUGCUUCCUGAUAAUUGUGCAUGUAACUUGGUUUCUUCACUUCAUUUAAAUGAUUAGUAUGUUUUGGGCUUUGACCUAUGCAUAUAACAACACUACCAUGCCAGUUUGUACAUCUUCUGUUUUUGGUUCUUUGGACUCAAGAGUAACUCAGAAGUUUGAACAAAUGUACUAUGAUAAUAUUGCUCAAACAUAUGGUGCUUUUGCAGGGUCAAAUGGCGGGAAGUAUCAAGUCAAAGAUAUUAUGGCUUUUGUACAUCUUCUAUUUUCUUUAAAUGGAAGUUGGUGUUGGUUUGGUGAUCGAAGACUUGGGCUCUUCCAUAGUGUUUUGUAGAGUGAUCGAACACUUAAGUCUCUUAUGAACUAGGACCAUAAUUUGUAACAUGCCACAACUUGUAUGUUGAGUUGAGUAUUUGUUUCAAUGGUUGUAACAAGGAAAACUGAUCUUCUAUAUAUGUUGAAUAAAUGCUUUGGUCAAUGGCAUUUUGUGAUGAAUAGAAGAGUGUAAUUGUUGGUAUAUCUACUGCAAAGUGAACAUGAAUUGAAUAUUUUGAAUAUAUUUUCAUGUUAAUAUAUGUUGCAUUUGCAUUUGUGCUGAAAUGUAUAGCCCUGGCAGCAAAUGUGUCGGCAAAACUAUUGGAGGUCGCAAAGACUGUUGGCAUAGCAUACUUACAGAGAAACUGUCGGGGUAGCAACGGCCGUUGCACUAUCUGUCGGUAUAGCAC